rfam:Candidatus Thrbacteria bacterium RIFOXYB2_FTLL_57_15 rifoxyb2_full_scaffold_2415, whole genome shotgun sequence.
UCUACUAAGAGUUUGAUCCUGGCUCAGGAUGAACGCUGGCGGCGUGUCUAAGGCAUGCAAGUCGAACGAGCCAACUGAGAUUACAUCAAAGGUUGGAAAGUGGCAGACGGGAGCGGAACACAUUGGUAACAUUCCUCGAAGUCGUGAACAACCCCGGGAAACUGGGGCUAAUACGCGAUGGACAAGGGGGGUCAUAUGACAUUCCCUUGUAAAGCUUCGGCGCUUCGAGAUUGGCCUAUGUCUUAUCAGCUAGUUGGUAGGGUAACGGCCUACCAAGGCUAUGACGAGUAGGGGGCGUAAGAGCGUGGCCCCCCUCACUGGGACUGAGACACUGCCCAGACACCUACGGGUGGCUGCAGUCAAGAAUAUUCCUCAAUGGACGAAAGUCUGAAGGAGCGACGCCGCGUGCCAGAUGAAGCCCUUCGGGGUGUAAAUGGCUUUUAUUGGGGACGAACAAAUGACGGUACCCAAAGAAUAAGAGGUUGCUAACUCUGUGCCAGCAGCAGCGGUAAUACAGAGACCUCGAGCGUUAUCCGGAAUCAUUGGGCGUAAAGGGUCCGUAGGCGGCUUUUUUAGUCAUGCGUCAAAUCUUUGGGCUCAACCCAGAGGCUGCGUGUGAUACUGGAAGGCUAGAGAUCGGGAGAGGCACAUGGAAUUACUGGUGUAGCGGUAAAAUGCGUUAAUAUCAGUAAGAACACCAAAGGCGAAGGCAGUGUGCUGGAACGAUUCUGACGCUGAGGGACGAAAGCGUGGGUAGCGAAUGGGAUUAGAUACCCCAGUAGUCCACGCCCUAAACGAUGAAUGCUAGAUAUUAGGAGUAUCGACCCUCCUGGUGUCGCUGAACCAAGCUAACGCGUUAAGCAUUCCGCCUGGGGAGUACGGCCGCAAGGCUAAAACUCAAAGGAAUAGACGGGGACCCGCACAAGCGGUGGAGCAUGUGGUUUAAUUCGACGGUAAGCGUAGAACCUUACCUGGGCUUGAAAGGCAGCUGCAAACCGCCAGAAACGGUGGUCGCUUUCGAAGGUGCUGUCUAGGUGCUGCAUGGUUGUCGUCAGCUCGUGGCGUGAGCUGUUCCCUUAAGUGGGGUAACGAGCGCAACCCUUGUCGUGCGUUAUAUGUGUCGCACGAGACUGCCCUCGCAAGAGGGAGGAAGGUGAGGAUGACGUCAAAUCAGCAUGGCCCUUACGUCCAGGGCUACACACGUGCUACAAUGGCUGGUACAAUGGGCUGCCAAACCGCAAGGUGGAGCGAAUCCCAUCAAAGCCAGUCUCAGUUCGGAUCGAGGGCUGCAAUUCGCCCUCGUGAAGCUGGAAUCGCUAGUAACGGCCGAUCAGCUACGCGGCCGUGAAUACGUUCUCGGGUCUUGUACUCACCGCCCGUCAAGCCAAGAGAGUCGGAGGCGCCCGAACGUCGCCGUUAGGCGGCGGAAGGCGAAAUCGAUGAUAGGGGCUAAGUCGUAACAAGGCAUCCGUAGCGGAAGCUGUGGAUGGAUCACCUCCUUU